rnacentral:rRNA from 1 species
AUGCACGCUGGCGGCGUGCCUCAUACCUGCAAGUCGAGCGAACAGACGAGGAGCUUGCUCCUCUGACGUUAGCGGCGGACGGGUGAGUAACACGUGGAUAACCUACCUAUAAGACUGGGAUAACUUCGGGAAACCGGAGCUAAUACCGGAUAAUAUAUUGAACCGCAUGGUUCAAUAGUGAAAGACGGUUUUGCUGUCACUUAUAGAUGGAUCCGCGCCGCAUUAGCUAGUUGGUAAGGUAACGGCUUACCAAGGCGACGAUGCGUAGCCGACCUGAGAGGGUGAUCGGCCACACUGGAACUGAGACACGGUCCAGACUCCUACGGGAGGCAGCAGUAGGGAAUCUUCCGCAAUGGGCGAAAGCCUGACGGAGCAACGCCGCGUGAGUGAUGAAGGUCUUCGGAUCGUAAAACUCUGUUAUUAGGGAAGAACAAAUGUGUAAGUAACUAUGCACGUCUUGACGGGACCUAAUCAGAAAGCCACGGCGAACUACGG